rnacentral:lncRNA from 1 species
UUUGCAUGAUUAAUGAUUUUCCUUUGCAGUUGGUUAACGGCAGCUCAAGUGUCAAUGUCUUUCCAAGUUCAAACAAGUCAUUGGCUAUGUAUGAGGAUUUUAAAUUUGCAAUGAUGCAAAACAUUAGAUAUGUAGCCCCCAAGUGCAUGUUAUCAGGAAUGGUUUAAGUCGUUGCUAGCUUCCAAGCUUGAUUUUGCAUGACAAUUUGCUUAUUGUACUUGAUGUUUUCACUUGAAAUUUCAUUGCCUUUUAUAGCAUUGAAUGCUUGAGCAUAUGAAUGAAAUUGAAUUUGGCUUUGAUGGAAGAGACUUGUAGUUGCUGGAGGAAGCUUCCGUCCCUGGUGAAUGAAGCUUAAGUUGUCAGGGGAAGCUUCUAGCACUGGUGAAUGAAGUUUAAGUUGAUGGGAGAAGCUUCCUGCAGCGCUAAACAAAGUUUUAGUCUCCUGGGGAAGCUUUCUGACUAUUGAAUGAAGUUUUAGUUAUUGAAGGAAACUUCCAGAUUUUUUUAGGUAGCUAAAGACAGAACCUCAAAUUCUCCUUUUUGGGCACUGGCAUAUUUUAGCUUGGUAUAUAUCUUCAUGCGAUUAUGAUUGUAGCAUGCUUGCUUGAUUAAGCGUGAAUUCAUUAUUGUGUUUAGAAUGUCAUAUUGAAAAGUUUGCCUAAGCAGCUUUCAGCACGUCAUUUUUCCUUUCCUUCCGAUAGUGGCCUAGUUUGAAUCUGGUUUUUUACAAUGGCAGAGUUAGUAAUCAUCUAAUUUCUGGCAUCAUCAAUCUAAGCAUUGAAGUCCCAAGGUUCUAUUGAUGGUGCCACUACCUGAAUAAGAACUUCUGUAAGGAGUUCAAGUUAGUAGUAGUGAUAUGUAUGGUGUGGUUACACGAGAGCAAUUUAGUGGUGCUUGCUAAUAAAGAGUUGUUAUGCUAAAAUAAGCAUUACAAACUUUUAGGCAUCGAGUAAUGUACCUAGAAUCAUGUUUUAGUAAAACUGUGAGUUUAUGGAAAUCAUGAUACUAUUCACAUUAGGCUUUCCAUGUCGAACAUAAUAUAUGCAAGCAUAUAUAUGACAAAUUAAUGGAGUACGCAUCGAACAAAAUAUUAGCUUUGCCUAGUAAAAUAUUGUUUAUGCAUGUUAUCAUUGAUUUCUUGAAUUAGGAUAAUGGGAUGAUUUCCUAAGGUAUGCAUUGAGCAGUAGGUAGAGUCAAUUGAAGUAACUAGUGUUUUUUGGGAGGAUAACCAAUAUGCUUGUGUAGUGUUCCAUAACAAGUUAACAAAAUAUAGGCAAACAUAAAUGUGGAUGCAAAUUUCUUCCUUCUUGUUGUUGGACGAAAAUGCACUUGCAAAAACAAUUAACACCUUAGUUAGAAUUGGGGGGGCUUUGGCCGAAGAACCUCCGAUGCCAAAGUUAGAAUUUUGGGGGAAAAAUAUUUAGAGAAUUUAGAGAAUUUUUCAAGAAGCUUGGAAUUGGGUUUUGGAGAAAAUGAGGUGGUAUUUAUGAAGGUGUGGCCAACCCUUUUGGGAGAGAUGGGAACCGGCCACUUUAGUUGUUUUUUGGGUGCUAAUCACCGUCAAUUAGCUAAUUAAGUAAUUAAUUAAGUAAUAAAUCAAUUAAUUAGCUAAUCAACCUUGUGGGGAUGAUUU